rnacentral:rRNA from 1 species
UUACCCAAUCCCGACUCGGGGAGGUAGUGACAAUAAAUACUGAUACAGGGCUCUUUUGGGUCUUGUAAUUGGAAUGAGUACAAUUUAAAUCCCUUAACGAGGAACAAUUGGAGGGCAAGUCUGGUGCCAGCAGCCGCGGUAAUUCCAGCUCCAAUAGCGUAUAUUAAAGUUGUUGUGGUUAAAAAGCUCGUAGUUGAACCUUGGGCCUGGCUGGCCGGUCCGCCUCACCGCGUGUACUGGUCCGGCCGGGCCUUUCCCUCUGUGGAACCCCAUGCCCUUCACUGGGUGUGGCGGGGAAACAGGACUUUUACUUUGAAAAAAUUAGAGUGCUCCAGGCAGGCCUACGCUCGAAUACAUUAGCAUGGAAUAAUAAAAUAGGACGUGUGGUUCUAUUUUGUUGGUUUCUAGGACCGCCGUAAUGAUUAAUAGGGACAGUCGGGGGCAUCAGUAUUCAAUUGUCAGAGGUGAAAUUCUUGGAUUUAUUGAAGACUAACUACUGCGAAAGCAUUUGCCAAGGAUGUUUUCAUUAAUCAGGAACGAAAGUUAGGGGAUCGAAGACGAUCAGAUACCGUCGUAGUCUUAACCAUAAACUAUGCCGACUAGGGAUCGGACGAUGUUAUUAUUUGACUCGUUCGGCACCUUACGAGAAAUCAAAGUGCUUGGGCUCCAGGGGGA